rnacentral:tRNA from 1 species
UCCUUCGAGCCGGAUUUGAACCAGCGACCUAAGGAUCACCGUUGUAACAUCUACAGUCCUCUGCUCUCCCAACUGAGCUAUCGAGAG